AUGAAGAACGAAGCGAAAUGCGAUACGUAAUGUGAAUUGCAGAAUUCAGUGAAUCAUCGAGUCUUUGAACGCACAUUGCGCCCUCUGGUAUUCCGGAGGGCAUGCCUGUCCGAGCGUCAUUGCUGCCCUCAAGCACGGCUUGUGUGUUGGGCUCCGUCCCCCGAUCCCGGGGGACGGGCCCGAAAGGCAGCGGCGGCACCGCGUCCGGUCCUCGAGCGUAUGGGGCUUUGUCACCCGCUCUGUAGGCCCGGCCGGCGCUUGCCGAUCAACCAAAUUUUUAUCCAGGUUGACCUCGGAUCAGGUAGGGAUACCCGCUGAACUUAAGCAUAUCAAUAAGCGGAGGA
rnacentral:misc_RNA from 1 species